GACGAACCCUGGCGGCGUGCUUAACACAUGCAAGUCGAACGGAAAGGCCCUGCUUUUGUGGGGUGCUCGAGUGGCGAACGGGUGAGUAACACGUGAGUAACCUGCCCUUGACUUUGGGAUAACUUCAGGAAACUGGGGCUAAUACCGGAUAGGAGCUCCUGCUGCAUGGUGGGGGUUGGAAAGUUUCGGCGGUUGGGGAUGGACUCGCGGCUUAUCAGCUUGUUGGUGGGGUAGUGGCUUACCAAGGCUUUGACGGGUAGCCGGCCUGAGAGGGUGACCGGCCACAUUGGGACUGAGAUACGGCCCAGACUCCUACGGGAGGCAGCAGUGGGGAAUAUUGCACAAUGGGCGGAAGCCUGAUGCAGCAACGCCGCGUGCGGGAUGACGGCCUUCGGGUUGUAAACCGCUUUCGCCUGUGACGAAGCGUGAGUGACGGUAAUGGGUAAAGAAGCACCGGCUAACUACGUGCCAGCAGCCGCGGUGAUACGUAGGGUGCGAGCGUUGUCCGGAUUUAUUGGGCGUAAAGGGCUCGUAGGUGGUUGAUCGCGUCGGAAGUGUAAUCUUGGGGCUUAACCCUGAGCGUGCUUUCGAUACGGGUUGACUUGAGGAAGGUAGGGGAGAAUGGAAUUCCUGGUGGAGCGGGUGGAAUGCGCAGAUAUCAGGAGGAACACCAGUGGCGAAGGCGGUUCUCUGGGCCUUUCCUGACGCUGAGGAGCGAAAGCGUGGGGAGCGAACAGGCUUAGAUACCCUGGUAGUCCACGCUGUAAACGGUGGGUACUAGGUGUGGGGUCCAUUCCACGGGUUCCGUGCCGUAGCUAACGCUUUAAGUACCCCGCCUGGGGAGUACGGCCGCAAGGCUAAAACUCAAAGGAAUUGACGGGGCCCCGCACAAGCGGCGGAGCAUGCGGAUUAAUUCGAUGCAACGCGUAGAACCUUACCUGGGUUUGACAUGGAUCGGGAGUGCUCAGAGAUGGGUGUGCCUCUUUUGGGGUCGGUUCACAGGUGGUGCAUGGCUGUCGUCAGCUCGUGUCGUGAGAUGUUGGGUUAAGUCCCGCAACGAGCGCAACCCUUGUUCACUGUUGCCAGCACGUUAUGGUGGGGACUCAGUGGAGACCGCCGGGGUCAACUCGGAGGAAGGUGGGGAUGACGUCAAGUCAUCAUGCCCCUUAUGUCCAGGGCUUCACGCAUGCUACAAUGGCUGGUACAGAGAGUGGCGAGCCUGUGAGGGUGAGCGAAUCUCGGAAAGCCGGUCUCAGUUCGGAUUGGGGUCUGCAACUCGACCUCAUGAAGUCGGAGUCGCUAGUAAUCGCAGAUCAGCAACGCUGCGGUGAAUACGUUCCCGGG
rnacentral:rRNA from 1 species